ensembl:lncRNA
AUGAACAAGUUAUUAUAUAUAUAUAAAUGUAUGCAUAUACAAUGUAUGCACAACUUAACUCCUAUGUGUUCUUUUCUUACUAAUUUUAUUCCAAAUGAUUGUAGUAUUACCAAUUUUUUUGUUAAUACAUAUAAUAAUUAUUUUGUUAGUAAUAUAUUUUUUCAUAACCUUUUUUAUACAUAUGAUAACACAUUAACCUUGUUGCUUAAUUCUAACAAUACCGAUUGUGUUUGUUAUGAUGACCAAUAUGAUUAUCAUCCAGUUCGACGAAAUAACCAAGGAAAAUGCGAAGAUUACAAAAAGUAUAUUAAAAAAAACAAAACAAAUAAAAUACAACAAAACGUACAUCCAGAUUAUAAACCUUUAUAUACUUCUAAAAACAAACAAAUGCUUAACGUAGUAGUGAAAGACAACUUAUUUAUUUAUAAAAACAACUUGAAAAAUAAAACAACCAGUAAAAACAUAAUUAAAGAAAAUAACUAUAACAAUAUGAGAGAUGAUGCUAUUGGCCUGUUCAAAAAUGAAAAUUUUGAUAAUAAUACCAAUUGUUAUGAUAAUUCUCUUAUUUGUACUAAUACAAAUAAACAAGAGGAAGAACCAACAGGAAAUGACAAAAAAUUCACACAGAACCGUCGCAAUGGUUAUACAAAACCGACUUAUAUGAUGGAGUGUCUUACGAAAGAGGAUGAGCAAGAUAAACAAAAUGGGCAAAAAGAACAAGAAAUGGCGAUGAGACUAUUAUGUGAAAAUGAUGCUGGUAAAAAGGACAGACAAAUAGGUAAAAAAGACAAAACAAAAAAGACAACUAAACGUUCCACAUGCAAUAAGAAAAACCAAAAUGCGACAAAUAUAUAUACAAAACGAGAAUUAAAAAAAAAUAUAAUAAUAUCAAAAUCGGCAGAGAAAUACAUGGAAAUGGUUUUAUCACUUCUAUAUAAAAAUGUAGACUUUGAAAAUAAAAAAAAAAUAAACUUGGAAAAUGAAAAAAACGAAUUUCAUAGUUUGUUUGAAUAUAUGGAUAACAAUUCGAAUAAUUGUUUAAGGAGAAAAUAUAAUUUUUUGAAUAAUUUAACUUUUAAAGAUAAUAGUUUAAGUUGUUUAGAAACAGGAGCUAUCAUUUCGCAUCCAUUUUUACCAUUUUUUGCUCUUGUACUUAUUAACAAUAAUGAAAAUGAUAACACCUGUGCUGAUAAUAAAAAAUAUAAUUUGAAUGUAUCUACUGUUGGUAAUGUAAGUGGUACUACUGCUGCUGCUGCUACUGCUGCAGAUAUACCCGGUGCCACUAUCAACAAUAACAAUGCACAAAACGUAUAUAAAAACAAAUUUAGAAUAAAGUUAUGUAGUUAUACUAACACAUAUAAUAACAUUUCAUAUAAACAUGGUGCUAUUUCAACUAUAUCUUGGAAUAGUACAGGUAAUUUGCUAUUUGUAGGUGAUAAUAUUGGGUACUUAUACAUUUAUAACCUAUUUAUGGGCACAUUUAUUAAUAAAAAAAAAAGUGAAUCUAAAAACGAUACAACUACUGUUACGAAGUCAAUGGUAAACCAUAAUACAACCUCAUCAAAAGAAGUAACAAAUAAAGAAAUUAAUAAAAAAGGAAAACCAAAUGAAUGUAGGAGUAAUACUUUGGGUAUAACUACUACUGUUAAUAAUACUAGUAACACAAAUGUGAACAAUAAAAGAAUUACUAAUGACAAACACAAUGACAAACACAAUGACAAACACAAUGACAAACACAAAGACAGAGACAGAGACAGAGACAGAGAAGGGCCAUCAUCAGAACAAGAACACACAACAGAUAGUUAUACUACAAGUCAGUAUGAAUACGACGAAUAUAACACAAAUGAAUAUGAUAAUUAUGAUGAAUGGGAUGAUUAUAAUAGUUGCACCUGUAGUAAUGAAAGUGCUAGUGUGGGGGGGAAACGAACUAUUACCAAGCAAUGGUACAAACAUUCUACGCGCUCGAAUUUAGAUUUAAAGUCUUACGCUACUUCUGCUGCUAAUCGUGAUAAAUACAGGAUAAGUACCAAAAGGAAUAACUUUAAUAAACAACUAAACAACAGAAUGAAUAAUAAAAAAAAUAAAAAAAAAAAUAAAGAAGAAGAAGAAGAAGAAGAAGAAGAACAACAACAACAACAGCAACAACAACAACAUGACUACAAAUUUGGAGACAAAUUAAAAGAAAGUAAUAAAAAAAUAAAAAACUUUUUUAAGGAUAAUUUUUUAAAAAAUAAGAAAAACAAUUUGCAACAGAUGGAUACGGGUACUACAGGUAUAGGUAGAGGCAUAGGUAUAGGCUUAGGUAGAGGUAAAAGUAAGAGAAGGGUUUGUAAAAAUAGAGACCGAGGAAGGGAUAGUGGCCGUGAGCGAGAACGGGAACGGGAAUGGGAAUGGGAACGGGAACGUAAAAGAAAAAUAAGAGAAAGACGAGAAAGAAGAAAACAAAAAAUGUUAAACAGAAGAGGUUAUGUUUUAAAAGAAGCAAUGUGUGUAAUCAAACUCCAUGAUGAAAUUAUAGAUGUCCAGUGUUUAAAUGACAACAACUUUUAUAUAAUCAGCAUAGGUAAAGGUGUAAAUGCCAAAUCGGUUAACAAACACACUAUAUGUAUAAACACUAAUAUGAUAACAGAUGAAUUGGAAGAAGAAUUGCAACGACAAAACGAGGAAAGAUAUAAAAACAAAAACUCGGAAUUGAAAAAAGUGGAUAAUGUUGCUGUUGCUACUACUACUACUACUACUACUACUACAACUGCUACUACUACUACUAGUACUACUACUAAUAGUACCAUAUUAACACCUAACAAAUACAUCAAUUCGAGUCAAUUAAAAAAACCCGAUUUGGUGUCAUUAGUGGCAUCAUCAGUUCCAAACAGUACUACUAACUUAAAAAUAGAAAAAUAUACACAAGAAGAUAAAACGAGUUCAAAUAUGAUAGAUGCAAACGGAAAUGUUAAUAUUGGUGAUAAGCAACAACAACUGACAAAAAAAACGAAAUUGGUAAACAUAGAAGGUAAACUAGGAAAUAUGAGUAGUUUGUAUUAUCAUGAAGACAGUAAAAGAACACGCAGUUCAAACAAAAACAAUAAAUACGAGUUAAACCGUAUGCACAGCACCAACAACAAUAAUAGCAACAAUAAUAGCAACAAUAAUAACAACAAUAAUAACAACAAUAAUAACAACAAUAAUAACAGUAACAGCAACAAUAAUAACAAUAGUAUAAAAAAAAAAAAAAAAAAAAGCUCUAAAAAUUUAAAUAAUUUUUUAAAUUUACAUGUUUUUAAAAAAAAUGACGACUCUUAUAACUCCCGCUUUUUUUAUUUCGAUUCCAAUUUUAGCUUUACAAAAAAAAAUAAAAAAGUUCAAACCUUGAUUUCGAACAAUGUUUGUAUAUGUGUGUGGGAUAUGUGUUCUAUUUUAACAAACGAAGAAAAACGUUAUUUGAAAUGUACGAAAGAUAUGAUAAACGAAAAUAUUAAUCACUGUAAAUAUACAAAUAAAAAUGGACAAACUGGAAAAUUACAUAUGAACAGGGAUACUAAUACUAAUACUAAUGCUAAUGCUAACAUAAAGACAAAUCCAUGCUUAAAAAAAUCAAAAACAUGUAUACUUCAUCCUGACUUAGUUUGUAUUAUUAGUAAUGUAGCAAACGAAAAAGAUACAACAAAUAAAAAUAAAAACACAGAAAGUGGUCAAAGUAGCAAUACAAAUAAUACUACCAACACUAACAGUACUAAUGAUAAUUUUAUUACUUCAUUUUGUACGUGGUUAAACCCAAGGAGUUACAUGCACAAGUCAGCUAACAUUGCUGAUUGUGUCAAAAGUAAUGCCCAUAAUAACGGAAUCGCUUAUAAUAUCAAUAGCCCAUAUGACAGUGAUAGCAAAACAAAAAAAGAUAUAAAAGAGAGUAACAAAAAUAACAGUACUACUACUGUAUCCUCACCUUAUCAUAACAAUUAUACAAAUGUUAUAUACCACGAAGUGCCUAAAAAAAAAAGCACUUUUUGGAAUAUCUUUAGACAGAAAAUAAAUAUAAACCCUUUUUUCGAAGAUGCUUACAUAUUUUACAGUGACAAAUCAGGUUAUAUACAUGUAGUCCAUCUUCAAACAUAUAGUGAAAUUUUAUGUUUCAAAGCGUUUGAUGCACCUAUAUUUAAGAUUUUUUUAGCAAAAUGUAUCACUACUAAGUUACUAGCCCUUACUGACACGAAGCUACGAAUUUAUGAAGUCCUAUCACCAAUCCAUAUAAUUUUUAUAAGAGAAAUAGAAUUGAAACACCAUGUAUCUCCUGCCAAAUGUAUAUGCGAAGAUAAAAUAAACGAACUUAGAGAAUGUGAAGAAAGAAGAAUGGAAAAAGAAAAUGAACAGGAAAAAGAAGGAAUUUCGAUUUUUAAUUUAUCUUAUUUUUUAUCGACUAGUUAUAAUAAAAAACAAAAUAAUAUAAAAUGUGAAACCAGUAAAAGUAAUACACCUUUUAUAUAUAAUAACACUAAUGGUAGCAAUAUAUCAGUUGAGACUUGUGCUAACAGUAACCCAAUCAAUGUUUAUGCCAAUAGUUAUAUUAAUAACAACUUAAAUAACACUAAUACAUGUCCAAACAGAGCCUUUCCAUUGAUAUCAUCUAAUAACAUGUUGUACUAUAAAGACGAAAAAGUAGUAAUGAAAAAUAAAAUCAGAAAAAGUAUUUCUAAUAGUAGUUUCCAGCAAGUAAAGGAAAAUUAUAUGCAUAAAAAUUUACAAACACAAUCUUCUUUCAACUCUUUAAAUCGAUCCGAUACAUUUAGUGAAAGCGAAGACGAUGUAGACAUGUAUAGUGAUGACAACGAUAAUAAUCAGAGUGUCAUAAUUGGUGGAAUCAAUUUUAGUUAUCUCGGUUUAAAUUUUUCCAAAUUUAUGACUAAUAAAAAAAAGAAAACA